CCCAAAAUGAAUAUUUUGACAGUUUGUUGCAUGCUUGCAUACCUUGUCAACUUCGAUGUUCUUCUAAUACUCCUCCUCUAACAUGUCAGCGUUAUUGUAAUGCAAGUGUGACCAAUUCAGUGAAAGGAACGAAUGCGAUUCUCUGGACCUGUUUGGGACUGAGCUUAAUAAUUUCUUUGGCAGUUUUCGUGCUAAUGUUUUUGCUAAGGAAGAUAAACUCUGAACCAUUAAAGGACGAGUUUAAAAACACAGAGAUGGAGUCUCGCUCUGUGGCCCAGGCUGGAGUGCAGUGGCGUGAUCUCAACUCACUGCAGCCUCUGCCUCUUGGGUUCAAACAAUUCUCCCAUCUCAGCCUCCUGAGUAACUGGGACUAUAGGAUCAGGUCUCCUGGGCAUGGCUAACAUUGACCUGGAAAAGAGCAGGACUGGUGAUGAAAUUAUUCUUCCGAGAGGCCUCGAGUACACGGUGGAAGAAUGCACCUGUGAAGACUGCAUCAAGAGCAAACCGAAGG
rnacentral:lncRNA from 10 species